rnacentral:tRNA from 1 species
GGGGCUGUAGCUCAGUGGUAAAGUGCUUGCCUAGUAUGCAUGAGGCACUGGGUUCAAUCCUCAGCACCACA